rnacentral:hammerhead_ribozyme from 1 species
AUCCAUCUGAAGAGUCCCAGAUAGGGCGAAACGCAUGUCAACCUGGAU